rnacentral:rRNA from 1 species
GAUGAACGCUGGCGGCGUGCCUAAUACGUGCAAGUCGAGCGAACAGACGAGGAGCUUGCUCCUCUGACGUUAGCGGCGGACGGGUAAGUAACACGUGGAUAACCUACCUAUAAGACUGGGAUAACUUCGGGAAACCGGAGCUAAUACCGGAUAAUAUAUUGAACCGCAUGGUUCAAUAGUGAAAGACGGUUUUGCUGUCACUUAUAGAUGGAUCCGCGCCGCAUUAGCUAGUUGGUAAGGUAACGGCUUACCAAGGCGACGAUGCGUAGCCGACCUGAGAGGGUGAUCGGCCACACUGGAACUGAGACACGGUCCAGACUCCUACGGGAGGCAGCAGUAGGGAAUCUUCCGCAAUGGGCGAAAGCCUGACGGAGCAACGCCGCGUGAGUGAUGAAGGUCUUCGGAUCGUAAAACUCUGUUAUUAGGGAAGAACAAAUGUGUAAGUAACUAUGCACGUCUUGACGGUACCUAAUCAGAAAGCCACGGCUAACUACGUG